rnacentral:lncRNA from 1 species
AAAUCUCCAAGUGCACAAGGGUGUGACAGGCUGCUGAUUUCACGCGGGUCGUGAGCUGCACCUCCUAUUUUCAAUUGAAUGCACUUGGAUGCAGCACUUCCCUAUGGGCCGAGAAUGUUUCUCCACUUUCUUCAAAUUUUAAUUGCCAUCCACACCCCUCGAUUACUAAAUCCACACCUUCUCACUCACUUAAGUACAUUUUAACCUUUAGAUGUCCCAAGUUGUAUUUCCAAAAUUUUCCCUGAAAAUAAUAAUGCAAAUAAUUAGCUC